GCCCAGGUGGUGGAAUGGUAUACACAGGGGACUUAAAAUCCCCCGAGGUUUCCUCAUGCGGGUUCGACUCCCGCCUUGGGCA
rnacentral:tRNA from 1 species